rnacentral:lncRNA from 1 species
AGCGUAACGCUGUUGGAGAUGAGAGGGCACAGCACAAUUUUGAGAGCCAAACAAAGGCGGGGCACAGAGCUGUUGCCUCGAGAUGUGUGGCCUCAGAAGGUCUUGUCGAGGCGAGUGAUGAAAGGGAGGAGGUUCCCGAGGAUACUGGAGCCGGAAGACGCGGCGAGGGUCCGGGAUUCAAGGAGAUUCAAAACCCGUGUCACUGCUGCCAUCUUCCUAGAAUCCCUUUAAAUCCUCAUGGAUUUGCUGACAUUGGGAGCAUCCUGAAAGAGUCCCCAUGCUAGGGUGGCUGCAGUAACAGGUACAAUGAGAAAUGAUGGUUCUCCCCACUCCAGAAAAAAUCAAAUCAGAUUGUGAAUUUAUUCCCUGACAUUAACACACGGCAUUACAGGAGCAUGUACAUCACAUGGUCAAUUUAUUGGCAUGAGGAUUAUGUCAUCGGGGAAUAAAUGGGAAAUUCUCAAGGAGAAGCCAAGUUGUGAGCAGUGCACCUUCACAAGCAAAGCCUCGACUGAAAUCUUCUCUAACAAUUGGCUGGUCACUCCUGAGCGUAAUCUACCCCUUCAGAACACUGGGGAUGAAUUUAGAGACAUCGAAGCCUCCUGAUGAGAAAUACGUGUCCACUCACCGGGAGAACUGAAAUACCAGGAGAUUUCUACACAAAUCUCACAGAGUCCUUCUGGCGUCCUAGGGGUUUGCUCACAUAUAAGGGACUUUCUGGUAGGAAGAGAGUCUCUUUACAUUCUUUAUUAUAUGAUCCUGGUGGCUUUGUAGAGAGAUGGUACAGCUGACAGAUCAUGUCCUGUGGGGCCAGGGAGUUGUGUGUGUGUGAAUGCUCUGUGAACUUGGGCAAACUACUUAGCCUCUCUGAGCCUUAGCUGCAUCAGCUUUGAAAAACAGGAUGAUAAAAUGGAGUCACCUUAUUUGACUUUUAUAAAUACACUUACACAAUUACACAAGUUGUGGGGAUGGGAAGAGAGAGUUGGGGAAAGAGAAAUGAGAGAGAGAGAGAGAGAGAAUGAAUGAUAAACAAUUUAAACAACAGUGGGGUGUAGACCAACGCCCAGCCUGGCAAGGGUGAGCCCAGAGAGCCUUCCCUCCUGGCUAUUGGCAGCCUCCGCAUGGAAGCCUGUCGUUGACUUCUUAAUGAUGAGAGAUGUUCUGGGGGCACUCCAGGAUUCUUGGACAUGGGAUCGUCUUCACAGCUGUGUCUAUUGAAAGCUGAAGUUUCAGUCUCCCCUGCCCCCUGCCCCCUGGAGUGGCUUCCCAGGGGAAAUUCAAGGGCACCUGUGACUGCAUGGCUGCUUUCCUUUCCUUUACUCAAUGCCGUCCUUUGGUGACAGCCGUGUCUCAUGCCAGGAUACAUGAGGUGCUCUAUAGUAGUAUGUUUUCCCUCCUGGGAGGUAAUUUUAUUUAAAUGUGAAGUCAAAAGGAUCACUAAAUAGAACCAUGAGGCAACCACUCUGGGCACCUGCCUGGUGAUAUCCACAAGAGCUGACCACAGGUGCCCCCUGUGCCCAGCAAGUCCUUGGCUGGGCAGUCACACAACAGGCAUGGGGAUGUGUGGCCACCAAGCCCUCCAGGGCAGUGCUAUUUGUAAUAGUCCCAAAUGGGAGAGAUGGCAAACGCCCGCCAAUGGGGCAGCAUGGAUAAAUGGAUGCUGCACAGCAACGGCGAUGAGUGAGCCCCAGCACCCGUGAGCUCACCAGUGUAAUAUUGGGUGGAAGAAGCCAGGAGGAAGGGCAUUCACAUUCUGUGAUUCCAGCUACACUAUGUUUAAAUAUGGGCAGAGCUAGGCUGUGGUGCUGGAAGCCAGGACAGUGGGAUCCUUGCAUGGGGGUGAUGGUGCUGGUAGGUUCUGGUAAUUUCCUCUUCUUGAUCUGGGUGUAAACAUUUUGUGAAAAUUCAAUGAGCUGUACAUUUAUGACUGGUACAUUUAUGACUUUGUAUGAAUAUUAUACUUUCAUAAAACUACUUUAAAAUAUGAUUGUGAACCUUUUUUCACCUAUUUUCUGCCAAUUAGCACCGAAUUGCUCACUAACUAAUGAGUGGUGCUGGUUUUGACUUGCUUGCUACACUGUCUUGAGACAGAUAGGGUUUUCUGUGCUUUGUAUGACCCCCUCUGGAACCAGGGUGGGACUGGGAACACUCGGAAAACAUGUGCUGACAGAUGCUGGGCAUCCCCGUGUUGGUGGAGGCAUGCUCAUUCCUCAGCAAAAUACCCAUAUGGGGUGUUGGCAGGAAAGAGGACAGAAAAGGACAAAGUAUUUGUCUCUGCUAGCGUUCCUGGAGCUGUCUCACCUUGGCCAAGCCCCCGCCCAGUCCUCUCCUAACGUGGACAGACUAGGGGGCAGAAACUAGUCAGCCAAAGAAUUUCCAAGCUAGGGGUUGAUGAAUGCUUGGAUAAUUUGCCCAUGAACACGUUGGAUUCUUCUUCACUUGCCAUCACGGGGGGAUAAGUACCCCAGUUUUUUUUUGGAGAGAAUUGAGGGACUGUGCCAUUGCAGUGUGGAUUUCAAGAGAUUUUAAACGGAAGGCAGAGUAACAGUGUGGUUUGGGAAGCUCUAAAGACAGUUGUCCUGGUGCGGUUUCUUCCAUAAAAGAGUGGGGACGCCAUGGACCUGCUCACCAAAUUCCAGUCCCGACACAGUUCUGUGAGGCACUCUCCACAUCAGGGCAGACGGGCAGGAGGAGUUUACACAGCGAUCUGGGGGCCAUUAGAGCACUGAGGGAUCCAUUGCUGUCUCUUGUUUCUGUUUCCCACACUGUGCUGGGUGCUGGGAACAUGACGAUGAACUUGAAGGAAAUAAUGUGUACGGUGGUUCAUUUCCAAGACAUAGUGCCUUGAAUCAGUUUAGGUCAGCAAACUACAGAAGAAACAGGAUAUACUAGGCCCCUGCUUGGAGAGCUGAUGCCUGUUUGUUGCCCCUCACCCCCUUAGUUGCCCUUACCAGAACCAAAGGAGUUUAGUCUAAGAUGAAAGUUUACUAGCCUGCAAAAUAGCUCACUUUGUCUGUUCUUAUCAGCCUGCCCAGCUACUUAGGUCAUAAGUGAAAUACUUGAAGAGCCCCUGAGCUAACUAGGAUUGCAAUGCAUUGUGGCUGCAACAAGAUGCAGCAAGACAACUGUAAAGAAAAUGCCUAAAACCCCUACCCACCAACCCAUAGGCGAUGUCCAGGAAGACUGUGACCUCCAUAGUACUCAGCAUUUGAGGAACUGGGGGAGGGACCUGUGCACUAGGGGAUAAAUUGCUUGUUGAAACUGUGCUGGGUGUGCCUGUCCAUCAGAUACCCUAUCUUGCAAGACUGUCG